GUUACAUCAUGAAGAACAGAGACUUCUGGGAAACUUCUAUCUCAUGCUCUACUGCCCCAUAACCCAAAACAACAUGCUCCCAGGGCCUGAGGCCGCCUUUGUGAAACCACGCUUUAGUCAUAAAUUCACCCGUAAACCCCUUCGUCACCCCAAAUGUCUCCCACAACUUGUAUCCAACCUCUGCCACUCCUUGAAAAAAGGUUGCGUUUGUUUAAAAUGACGUAAUGUUUUAAACUUCUCGUGUCCGACGGGAAUCGAACCCACCACGCAGGUGCUUUCAACACCUCUUACUGCUGCUCUUCACGUGUGUUUGGAUUCGUCGUCCAGUCUACGGCAUAAAGACGAUAGAUCUGUUGUCACCUUGGUAACAAACAGUUUCAUUUACUACCGUGCUUAAGUGCAGUUUUGAGGUUACUUGUACUUCUGCUGCACAUUUCAGAGGGAAACAUACUUUUUACUUCACUACAUUUAUUUAAAUGCUAUAGUUAGUUUGUCCCUUUACAUGCAAAACAUAUGAUUGACCUAUUAAAUAUGAUGCAUUGUUAUAGAUUAAAGGCCCCACAGACCCUCGCAGGUGUUUUCACUUAUGUUGCUGAUGCUAUGCUGGGAUUUACGUGAGGUCAUCGUGUCCCCCGAGGUACCGAAAAAAACAUUUUUUUUUUAAUCUUGUAGCACACGAUAAUAACUCGUGUGUGCAAAUUAUUAUCUCGUGUGCAUAAGUUUGAAAAAAUAUAUCGUUUUUCGGGACCUUGAAUGCACCCUAACUCUCUGAAUGAGUUCUUCUGAUACUUUAAGUGCUGCUGCUUCUACUGUUGCUGGUAAUACUUGUGACGUACAGGACCUUCGAGUGCAGUACUUUUCCUUGUAACAGAGUAUUUUUACACUGUGGUACUGUUACUUUUACUUAGGUAAAGGAUCUGAGUGCUUCUUCCGCCUCUGGAAACCAAAGUCCUUAACGACCUUCAGAAAGUCAGUCCUUCUGACGGUGCGACAGCCUCGGCCUCCGUCAGCGCUCCUCCCGCCAUCUUGUGUUUUUUUUCUCCCUCAAGCAGCCUGCAGGUAGAGAUGGGCGGAGCCAUUUAACCUGAUUUCUCGCACCUGAGCAAGCUGCGCCUCGGUUGUUCAGGCCGGCAUCACCACACACACAUUGAAAACGGCACCCACCAUUGACUUACAGACUACAGAUUCAUUUAUUAGGUGGCUUUUUUUGUCUUAGUUUCAAAUAAAAUAUUGUUAAAAUGACUUUAAAUCAUGUGUGUCCUCGCCCGCUGAUCCCGGGCUGUGACGAUGUUAAAACUGACCUCAACCCGGAGGAGGGUCAAGUGCUUCAUCUGUCACGUUCUGUCAGCUGAACGGCAAAACGUUUCAGACUCAAAGUGUGAAAGUCUGUUAAACAGGAUGUGUUUAUAUUUCUGCAUCUAUGAACUUGUUGACUGCCACCCGAUCCCUCUUCUGGAACAACGUGUACCAAAGAGUUUAGCAAAAUGUUUCUCUGUGUCGACACAGCUGAGGAAUGACUCUGCUCUGCCGUUCUCACGUAUAGAGAGUCAAGUUUACUCAAGACGCGUUUCACAAUCACAGUGUUCACAAGACAAACAGAAGAUAAAAAUGAAAAACAUGUGACUAUUUGUGCGUUUGUGUGUCAGAGGUUGUUUCCGUCUGUGAGUGAAGUAACAGGCGAUCAAAAAGAGAAAACGGGAAGGUUUGUUUCACUUUGUGCAAACAGAAAAUAGACUUGAUUUGCAGUUACACAAACACACUCUUCAUACAAUGUGAUAGCUUCGGGUCAUGUCGGGACUGGCCGGCUCGCCUGCUUUUCUUUUCUUUGUGCUUUAUCUUUAUUUCAGCAACCUUAAACAAUCUGUUCACCUUCACCACAAAAACACAUUUUUUCCAGACGUCAGGCACUCGCUCACGGAGGCGCGGGAGGCUGGAGCGUUUUGUUUUUAUUAGUUGCAUGUUCAUGAGACCGGUUUCGACCGCAGCAGGUCUUCAUCAGGGUUCAAAUGAGGAAACAAAACCAGAGUCGGACCUUUUUGUGCAUUCGUUCAGGCCACCUUUUAAAACUCAGCGAGACCUGAGUCUACAGCUAGCAGCUCUGUGGGGAUGUCGACCUGAUGGUGGCGCUAGAUGGAAAAAUCAGAGGAUCACUAAAGUCAGCAGGAUUCAUCCUCUCGAGACUGUGAGUGUCUGUACAAACUUUCAUGACAAUCCAUCCAGUAAUUGUUGAGAUAUUUCAGUCUGGACCAAAGUGGCGGAGCGACAUCUCUGUAACUGCUCGUAUUAAAUCACAUCACAUCACUUCCUGUG